ACUCUCUUUGUCUUUUUAGGUGACAGAACACAGAUGGAUGAAAACAAAGUGAGUUGUAAACCUCAAUAAUCAAAUGUUUAUUAUAUUGCAUUGACACUACUCAGUUGCAGCUGGCCAGGGUUAAAAAUGUUGAAAAUAUUUCAGAUUCAGAAUGUAUUUAGGGAAAAAACAAACAGGGGAAGAACAAUGGAAAACUAUGACUAUGACUGUGACUAUGACUGUAACUGUGACUGUGUUUUCACAGGGACUGAGCUUAAACCCUGCAGGGACUCCAGAAACCAGCCAGCAAAUGCUGGAUCCUGAAGAUGGUGUUUCUUACGCCUCCAUCAGCUAUAGGACGACCAACAGUAAAGCCCGGGUUUGCGAUAAAGGUGAUGAUGAAGCAGUGACCUACGCCACCGUGAAAGAUGCUUCCUCCCCUUCUACUGAAGCCUCUGCUGAAGCCUCUGCUGAUCCCAGCAACCUCUACGCCACCGUCAACAAACCAAACAAAUAAGAGACCACAGUAUAGUUACAGCUCAUAUCAUCACACCUAUUUAAGUUUGUUUUUUCACUCAUACUGUGUUGUAUUAUAAGAUUGUACAUGCAGUCAAAAUCCUACAGUGUUUAAAAUAUAUUUAUAUUUUUGAGCAUAACUUGGCUUGGCAGGUUGUUACAAUGAUAAUAUUGUAGUUUUGCAUUUCAGUUCUCACAUGAACAUGUUAAAAAAAUUUUCUGUUACAAUUAUUUUUAUGAUCAUUUUUAGGACUUGGCUUUUCUGUCCAGAAGGGGGUGUAGUAGGUUUACAAGUAGCAAGUAGAAAGUAAGAUCCUGACAUUCAUACCACUUAUCUCUUGUAAACUUUAUUGAGCUCUGUGAUGGGUUUUGUCACUUUUAUUUUGUGAAACACUUUUAAAAAUAAACUCAAAACUCAACUUUUGCAUCAGUUUUCUGCCCUAAAUACUAAACUACAGUCAUCCAACUUAUACUGCAUUUUUGUAUGUGUGUUGUCUCCCUUCUCUAUCUUUUGUUGCUAUCAUUGUUGUAUUUUGUAUGCAUUUUAGUUUAUUUAAAUAUUUUUGGUCUUGUCCCAUAAAAAACUUUAUAUACAUAUGUUCAUAGUUUUUUAUAUUUACUUUGUAUAUACUUUGUCUGUAUCAUGUAAUAGUAAGGUGUUUAAUUUGAACUAAAAAUAAAGAUGAGAUGAAGUGGCU
rnacentral:lncRNA from 1 species